CUCGUUUGUGUUGGACACAUUUUUGAAAAUUGAGCAUAAAUGUCGAUUUAUUGUUACAGUGUAUCAACUUUUAACAGCUCUGUAUAUUUUAAUGUCAAAACUUCAACAACCUUCCAGCAAAUGGAGAAUAAAAUCUGCUGAAAAUACUGUAAAAAAUGUACGUUUCUAUCUCGACUGGUUUCUACAGAAAUUGACUUGAAGUUCGGGACAAUUGUUACUCAACAGGAUAACUUUAUAGAUUUUCUCUCUUUCAAUAGGGGCCUGAAUCGAUUGUCUCUGGAAUAAGCCUUUUUCUAUGCUCUGGAAACUAUGCGGAAAUGGAGGCUUAAGACGUAGGGGCUUUUAACAACUCUGGAUAUUCUCAUAAGAAUUUUAAUAGGAAUCCAAUUUGAGUGAAACUAGAGAAUAUAGAGAAGAUGGUCUAUUGAAAGCGCUUUGAAACGUUCAAGUUUAAACGGGACUUUGAAUUUUUGUUAAUCGAUUUUAAGUGAGACAGUUUCACUUAACUCUACUUUGGACAUCUUCACACACUUCAAAAUAGAUCUGAUUGAACUGAAACUUUGAACAAAUGGGGACUCAACUCUACGAAAGAUGAUCUGAAAAUCUCCACUUUCUAUGCCGACUGGUUUGACCUGGACGAGUUUUUGAAAUUUGACUAAGUGCGGAACAAUUGUUACUGAACACGAUCACUUUUGAGUAA